GGCUGGUCCAAUGAUAGUGGCUUAUCAGAACUUAACUAACAUUAGUGUCACUGACGUUGGUAUACAACCCCCCACAGCUAAAUUUGACUGGCUUAAA
rnacentral:Y_RNA from 1 species